rnacentral:rRNA from 1 species
UAGGGAAUCUUCGGCAAUGGGGGGAACCCUGACCGAGCAACGCCGCGUGAGUGAAGAAGGUUUUCGGAUCGUAAAGCUCUGUUGUUAAGGAAGAACGAGUGUGAGGAUGGAAAGUUCAUACUGUGACGGUACUUAACCAGAAAGGGACGGCUAACUACGUGCCAGCAGCCGCGGUAAUACGUAGGUCCCGAGCGUUGUCCGGAUUUAUUGGGCGUAAAGCGAGCGCAGGCGGUUAGAUAAGUCUGAAGUUAAAGGCAGUGGCUCAACCAUUGUAGGCUUUGGAAACUGUUUAACUUGAGUGCAGAAGGGGAGAGUGGAAUUCCAUGUGUAGCGGUGAAAUGCGUAGAUAUAUGGAGGAACACCGGUGGCGAAAGCGGCUCUCUGGUCUGUAACUGACGCUGAGGCUCGAAAGCGUGGGGAGCGAACAGG